rnacentral:pre_miRNA from 1 species
AGCUUUCUGAAUUCUUGUAGAGAUUUCAUCGGUUGACAGAUCAUUUGGGCUGAUGAGACUUCCAAGAUAAGUGAAGUU